UACGGAAGGGCAGCGUUGUUCGGAUUCAUUGGGUCGUAAAGCGCGUGUAGGCGGCCAGGUAGGUCUGGUGUGGAAAACUCGAGGCUCAACCUCGAGAGGGUCAUCGGAAACCAUCUGGCUAGAGUCCGGAAGAGGAGAGUGGAAUUCCCGGUGUAGCGGUGAAAUGACGCAGAUAUCGGGAAGAACACCUAUGGCGAAGGCAGCUCUCUGGGACGGUACUGACGCUGAGACGCGAAAGCGUGGGGAGCGAACAGG
rnacentral:rRNA from 1 species